rnacentral:lncRNA from 1 species
UCAGCCUCCCGAGUAGCUGGGACUAUAGGCACCCGCCACCACGCCCGGCUAAUUUUUUGUAUUCACAGUACAGACGGGGUUUCACCGUGUUAGCCAGGAUGGUUUCGAUCUCCUGACCUCGUGAUCCGCCCGCCUCUGCCUCCCAAAGUGCUGGGAUUACAGGCGUGAGCCACCGCGCCCGGUGGAAAGGACACUUUUUUACAGUAUGAGCACUGAAACAAAAAGGCAAAGCAAGGUCUGUUCACCUUCAGCUGAGAACGUGAGGAUUGGUUCAGGAGUACAUGCGCAGGUUUGUCAUAUAAGCAAAUUAUGUGGCACAGAAGUUUGGUGUAUGGAUUAUUUCAUCACCCAGGCCGUUUCUCAGCGUUGGAUGUGCAAGCAGUUUUGAGAGAUGAAGUCAUGACUUCAAGACAAAAAAACAGGUUUGCUUAUUUUGCUACAAACCAAUAAGUUCUUCAGCCAUGCUGCAAAUCCACUGUGUAUCCAGUUCCCAUCUGCGGCCCGCACAUCAUCCCCAUGGGACUUGAGAGCAAGAGGAUCCCACGCAAAUCAUGUUGCUUGCUAUGCUGUGAGUAAAAUGUCCUUUGUCUCUGACUCAGAAGUCUUGUAUCUUCUAUUAGCAUCCAUGAAACCGUGGCAGGCUAACUCGUUAAAAUAACCCAAAAUCAAAUUCCAAGUCUGAAAGACACUAGAAUGGCAUAUGGUAUUUUGUUAGAAUUGGAAUCCAGGGCUCCCUGGAGAACUGGCUAAUUCUCGGGCAUGGAAUGAAAAAAUACAAGAUGAACCUGGAGAAGCUUUCUGUGUCAGAAAGUAAGAACGUGCUCAAAGAAUGAUGGGACCAUGUGAAAAGGACAUAGGAGUCUGUUUGAAAGGCAUCCCACUGGCCAAAUAUAGGAUAACUCUGAGGAUAAAAAUGUCAGUAAAGAAUUAUAACCCACUGAAAUAAAAAAUGAUAAAUGGAUAAAUGAAGGCAUUAUUUAUAGGACAAUGACAGCUAAUACAUUUUAAAAGAAAAAUGAGAUACAAGAUCAACAUUUGGCAAACACCAUAAUAAUUAUUUCUGGCAAGAAACAUCCAUGAAAGCUAAAAACUAAUGGAUGCAAAUUGAUGAGAAAGAUAAUAUUUAUAUAACCUCAAAGCAUCUCCUUCAUAAAAUACUUAUUAGUGACAAAGUGAAGAUGGUGACUCUACAAUGGAGGAACCUAGCAGACAGCAUCUUAACCAAGGGAUCAAGAUGGAACAAUUGUGUACUAUAAUGUUCAUUCUCAUAUCAGGCGCUAAGUACACAACAUCACUUUUGUGCUACUCUGCACAAAACCCAUAACUGAAAUCUAACUCUGAGGAAACAUCAGAUAAAAACAAAAUGAACAAUAUUCUUUGCAAUAAGUGAUCUGUGCUCUUCAAAAUGUGAAGGUCAUAAAAGACAGUUCCAGGUCAAAAGAGACCAAAGGUGCACAAUAACUAAAUAAAAAAAGAACCUUAUAUUAGAUUUUGCAGAAGAAACUAUUUUUUGCCCUUUCUUUAAAGAAUAUUAAUGGGAAGUUGGUGAAAUUUGAAUAAAGUCUGUACAUGAGAUGAUAGCAUUAUAUCAAAGUUAAUUUCCUAGUUUUAAUCACUGUCAGGUGUUUAUAUAAGAGAAUUUGUUUUCCAGGAAAUACAAACUGAAUAAUUUAGGAAUAAAGGGAUAUAUCUCCAUAAUUUACUCCUAAAUGACUCAGAAUAUAUAUAUAUAUAUAUAUAUAUGUAUAUGUAUAUACACACACAUAAGUAUGUGUAUGUAUAAAUUUGUUAUAUAUAUAACAUAUGUAUGUGUUAAUAUAACAAAUUUAUAUAUACAUAUGUAUAUAAAUACAAUAUAGAUAUUUUUUAUAUAUAACAUAUCUCUAUCUAUGGAGAGAGAGAGUAAAGAAAAUGUGAAAUGUUAACAUUUGAGGCCUUUAGCAAAGUGUUGACAGAGAUUCUUUGUAUAAUUUUUUUUUUUUUUUUUUUUUUUUUUGAGAUGGAGUCUCGCUGUGUCACCCAGGCUGGAGGGCGGUGGCGUGAUCUCGGCUCACUGCAACCUCUGCCUCCCAUGCUCAAGCAAUUCUCCUGCUUCAGCCUCCUGAGUAGCUGGGAUUACAGGCACAAGCCACCAUGCCCGGCUAAUUGUUGUAUUUUUAGUAGAGAUGGGGUUUCACCAUGUUGCCCAGGCUGAUCUUGAACUCCUGGGCUCAAGUGAACCACCCGCCUUGGCCUCCUAAAGUUCUUUGUAUAAUUUUUGCAACUUUUUAGUAUGUGUGAAAUAAUGUUUUCUAAAAAUGUUUAUAAAAUUUCAUUUCUUGCAAAAUUCAGUACUUUUUUUUACUUUUGGAUUUAGUCAAUUGGUUUUAGUAAAAUUUAAAGUAAUUGGAAUUAAAAAGAAUUGUUUCUAAUCCUGGCUGAGCACAGGCUUGAUAAUUUAAUCUCUCUGAGCUCCAAAGACAUAUAAUUGCAAUAUUAAUAUAUAUACACUUAUUUUCCUCAUAUACUUAAUACCUUUAUAUAGCAAACAUAGAUUGAAUCCUGACUUGUUUUUAAAUGAAAAGUUUACGGCAGGAAAUUGAAUAGAGAGAUCUGAUUAUAACCUCAAACUGUAAUUCUUAAUCUCUGGUUCAUGACAUACUAAUCCAAAGUACUGCAAGUGACUAUUUCCACAAAUAAUUAAAGUAAAAUUUUAACUCAUAACAUUUUUGCAGAGUAGAACAUGGUUAUUGUCAUACUAAUAUUAUUGUGUUUUGGUAGAUUUUCCUGAGUUGGGGAGAUAGAGUUGGAUUAUGGCCAGGACACUGUGCCUUGUACCGGCAGUUGAUGGUCCCAUCUGGGAACCACCUGUCAUUAAUAAAAGCAGUAUGCAUGAAUUACUGCAGUACUUUAUGUCCCUGUAAAUAUUAGGUUUCAUAAAUAUAUAAUUGUAUGCAUGAGAAGGAGUGCAUCCAUAUUUGAACAUCAUCUGUCAUGAAUUGUAUGAGGAAAUAACAUUUAAAAAUUAUUGCUCCAAAAAUGCAAAUGGUUUGAAGACACCAUAACUUAUGGUUCAUAAAUGUGUUCAUAACUGAACAAGGUUUAUGUGGGACAUUUCAGUAUUUGUAACUUAUAGAAGUAAAAACUGAUAAAUCUUGCUGUUUUAUCAUUUACAGAUAAAAUAAUUUUGAGAAAGAAAACAUUUUGGAGAUAAAUAUAACUACUACAUUUCCUAGAAGUAGUUUUGGCUCAUUGGAGAUAAUGUUUCUAUAAUAACUGUAAACAACCACAUUGGAUUUGAUGAGCAUACUACUGCUGCAAAGCAUUGUGCAAAGGAGCACUCAGCUCCUUUAAAUUAAUUGCAUUUGUAUAAAUGGAAUUGGUUUGGUCAAAGGCUGUCUUUUAAUGAAUGAGGUUUUAUAUUCAAGAGUGAACAUAAUCCCUUGGUUCAAGAGUCAAUGAAAUGAAAAAGUGAUUGAUUCACCAAAUUAGGGCUGAAUUUACUUUUGUAUUUUUUAUAG